UAUAAUACGAAUUUCUAAAGUAGAACUCAAAUUCUCUCUAAUACAACAUCACCCUUCUCUGUUCAACAAGCACCUCACGCAACAUAGGUAAACUAGAAGAUUAUCGUGAAGCAAUUACCAUCAUAUCGGCAAAUUUUGCUUUCCGUUUGUGAUUUUUUUUU
rnacentral:sRNA from 1 species